ACCCAAUUCAAGCCUUUGUUAAUUCCUUGGUAGUUUUUGCAGUUAAUAAAUUAGUAGAAGAUGGGUUAUCACAAUAAUCUUGAUAAGGUCCGUAAUAAGAGGGCCAAGUUUCCCUACACAAAGGAGCAGAUAAGGAACGUCUUCAAACGUCAUGACAAGAAUGGAGAUGGUCAACUUUCCAAAGAUGAGCUGGACGCAGCCUUCAAAGAACUUGGCUCGAUAUGGCCUCCUGGUAGAGCUUGGUUUGCUCAAAGGUAUGCAGAUGACGACGGCGAUGGCUUCAUUUCUAUAGACAAGGAGCUCAGCAAGCUCGUCCAGUAUGCCCUAGAAUUGAAGUAUACACUUAAGUAAUUAUAGUAUUAGUGGGUAACUAGUUCUUGUAUGUGCUUGCUAUAGAUAUAUUCUCAGCAAGCUCGUUGACUAUGCCCUCAAUUGAAGUUCUCUAUAUAAGUAAUCGUAGUGGUGGAGCUAAACUUGGUGUCUUAGUGACCACAACCACUUCAAGUCUAUAUGUAACUCCGUCUGUGUGUAAGCGUCUUUAAUUACUUGUAAGCAGCCGUAGUACCUAUAUAUGUGUGCAAGGUUGAAGGAACGAAAGAGGUGACCUUUUGUUUCCCUUCGUUACCAGGGAAGAUGAAUUUGAACCCUGAUUAUGUAUAAUAUAUAGUGAUUAACAAGAAUAAAGUAACAAACUUUGUGUAUUGAUAUCUAUUACGUAUACAUGUGUACGUAGGUGUGUCUAUAUAUUUAUAUAUGUACAUAUAUAUUGCAUUACAUACGUAUACAUACACAACUUACACUGAUAUUGUAUUACAUUCCCAAAUUCCUUCCCGGUCAAAAAGUCAACUUUUAUACUAAUAAAAUAUUCUAGGGGCAAAAUAGUCUUUUAUCUGAAUAAAUUAACAAUUAAAAAUUUAUUUAGGACUGGGUUGUUACAUAAACUCUUAUAAAUACCUCCUUAUGGAGAAGAAUAAAGUUAACCUAAUACAUUCAAACCAUAUUCAUAUUUUAGCACUAUGAAUGUUACCUUAUCGAGCAUGAGAUGUAUUUUGCUCACCCAGUAUCUCAUUCUCCUCAUCUAGGGGAGAGUAGCGUUGAAGAGUCGAAAUGGAUGGAGUUAUUUCAGGAUAAUAGUGAGGUUAAUUGGCUAGCCAUGUGUGACUUGACAACUAGUAACGAACCAAUCUGCACAGAACUGGCCAGUACCGCACUUGUGACUGAACCUACCAGUACCGUCGCACCCACAGCUUAUAACGUCUAUGCCGCCCCUCUCUCUACUACCUUUCUAGUACCCGGCCCCGAGUCUCCUCAUUCUAACAUUCUUGAGGUAAGUAUAUAAUCUUUGAUUAAUACUAACAAUGAUUGUGAAAUUAGUAAGUGUAGUGUGUAUCAGUUACCACCAAUGACUAAUCAUAGGAAGCCACCAUACGGAUAUUCACCAGAGCCUGCGACAUAGGUAAAGUAUCUUAUUUCUCAUUAUAUGUCUACUCAUAGAUUAUCUGAAGCUUGUCAGGCAUUUGUAAAUCAAAUGUCUAUGAUGACUAUUUCUAGUAAAGUACAAGAUGCAAUAUCUGAUUCAAAAUGGGCCAGUGCUAUGACUGAAGAGAUGCAAACUCUUGAGAAAGAUCAAACCUAGGAAUUGGUGCAACUGCCAGAAGGGAAGAAACCAGUUGGUUGCAGAUGUGUUAUAAAACACAAACCGGAUGGUUCUAUUGACAAGUAUAAAGCCAGACUUGUUGCCUGAGGUUUUUCCCAGACUUAUGAUAUUGAUUAACAUUUGCACCAAUGACUAAGAUCAAUACCAUUUGAGUUCGAUUAUCUUUAGCUGCAAACUUUAACUGGCCAUUGCAGCAAUAUGAUGUAAAAAAAUACCUUUUUACAUGGAGACUUACAAGAGGAAGUCUACAUGUCAUUGCCGCAAGGUUAUAAUGCUCAUACUGAUGCCAGUGUUCUGCGUAAAUUGAAGAAUACACUGUAUGGAUUGAAGCAGUCUCCGCGAACUUGGUUUAGGAGAUUGCGUCGUGCCAUGAAAAAAUAUGGUUAUGAGCAGAGCAACGCUCAUCAUACUUUAUUUCUUCAAAGGAAGAAUGGUAAGUUAACAGUUCUUAUUAUUAAUGCGGAUGAUAUGAUCGUGACUAGUGAUUGUCUUGAUGAAAUUGACAAAUUAAAAGGCUAUUUAGCUUCUGAGUUUGAUAUGAAGGAUCUCGGUGGAUUAAAAUAUUUUUUAGGUAUUGAGGUAACUUGUUCUGAACAUUGAAUUUUCUUGUCACAAAGAAAAUAUGUUCUUGUCACAAAGAAAAUAUGUUCUUGAUUUGCUAAAGGAAUCAGGUAUGCUUGGGUGUGAACCGAUUGGUACUCCUAUAGAACAAAAUCAUGGUUUGGAAGAAUAUCCAGAUCAAGUUCUAAGUGAUAAGGGACGAUAUCAAAGGUUGGUUGGUCGUUUGAUUUAUUUGUCUCAUACUAGACCUGAUAUUGCAUAUGCAGCAAGUGUUGUAAGUAGGUUCAUGCAUAAUCCAAGUCCAUGAUAUAUGGAUGCAGUAGUCUGAAUUUUGAGGUAUUUGAAAUUUGCACCAGGAAAAGGUAUGAUGUUCUUAAAGCAUGGGCAUGUAAAGGUUGUGGGGCAUACAUACUCAGACUGGGCAGGAAAGGAGGAUAAGAGGAGAUCGACAUUUGGUUAUUUCACGUUUGUUUAGGCGGUAACUUGGUUACUUUAUAGUCUAGGUGAUUGACCCCAAGCUUUUUGGAUGUUAGGUAUAUAUAGUUGGCUAUCGCGUUUAAGUACUUUUGGUUUCAGAGCGACACCCUUAUCCAUAUGGCAUCUACAACACAACAUAAAACAUAAGUUCUUUUCUUUUCAUAUCGGAUAUUGCUUUCGAGUUUCAUAUCCACCACGCUGUGUGUUAUCCCUAUGGCAUCUACGAUGGGGAUGCUUGUCCCAAUAGUCAUAGGCCAAAUCUCACCGAAAAGUCGAGCACUUUUUAGAAAGAAAGAAAGAAAGAAAGAAAAAGAAAAAAAAAAAAAAAAAAAAAAGGGUUUCACAAACCGAAAAGUUGAAUUAUUCAUUUCAACAAUUGGCAGAUGAAGUAUUUUUCUUAUCAACUUUACUACCAAAGAAAAGCUCACAAACCGUUUUAGACCAAACAAUUAAGCAUCUAUUAUCACUACUUGCAAGGUUCCAUGCUUUAUGUGCACGCAAAAUCUAGUCCAUAUAUCAUCCAUUGGAAUCAAGUAUUAUUUUUAAGGAGAGUGAUUGGCUCCUUGCCAAACUAUAUAUCAACAAAAUAUUAGCUAAAAUAUUGACAAUGUACCAUAUAUUGUAGAUAUGUUAGUACUCGAUACCAACAAAUUCUUUUCCAGAAUAAAGACCCAUGAGGCAUGUGACUUGAGGAAUAUUAGAAUACUUUUUUAAGGUCCAACAUGUGCGCAGGGGACCAGGCAGAAUCUUGUAUAAAUGGGAUUGAAUUCAUAGUGCAAGUCAUACAAGCCCUAGUUAAUUCCUUAUCCUUGGUAGUUUUGCAGUUAAUAAAUUAGAAGAAGAUGGUUUGGGAAACAAAAAGGUAUAAGGCCCCGAGCAAGGUUCCCUACACAAAGGAGCAGAUAAGGGACGUCUUCAAACGUCAUGAGACGAAUGGAGAUGGUCAACUUUCCAAAGAAGAGCUGGAUGCAGCCUUUGACGAACUUGGCGCGAAAUGGCCUCCUUUUAGAGCUUGGUUUGCUCGACGGUAUGCAGAUGACAACGGCGAUGGCUUCAUUUCUAUAGACAAGGAGCUCAGCAAGCUCGUCGAUUAUGCCCUAGAAUUGAAGUAUAUACUUCAUUAAUUAUAGUAUUUGUGGGUAACUAGUUCUUGUAUGUGCUUGCUAUAGAUAUAUUCUCAGCAAGUUCAUUGACUAUACCCUCAAUUCAAGCUUUCUAUAUAUGUAACUCUGUCCGUGUGUAAGCGUCUUUAAUUACUUAUAAGCCACCGUAGUUCCUAUAUAUGUGUGCAAGUUGAGGGAACAAAAGAGGUGAUCUUUUGUUUCCCCUUGUUACCAGGGAGGAUGAAUUUGAACCCUGAUUAUGUAUAAUAUAUAUAGUGAUUAACAAGAAUAAAGUAACAAACUUUGUGUAUUGAUAUCUAUUACAUAUAUAUAUAUGCGUACGUAGGUGUGUCUAUAUAUUUAUGUAUAUACAUAUAUAUUUUAUUACAUACGUAUACGUACACAACUUACACUGAUAAAAGCUCCGUGUUAUAGAGAUUACUGCAAUCCACUCAACACCACAUGUGGAAGCAUGGACAUUAGCAGAGUAACUUAAUAUGAUUCCAUACCAAUAUCUUGUUCAAGUGGCGUAGAGAUUUAAAUUUAAAAUCUUCAUAUAAGUAUAUCAAAAAAGAAAAAGAAGAAAAGAAAGAACUCUCACACAACUUUUCAUUGUUAUACACUCUUUUCCUAAGGGUGUACAUCCGUUCAAAACUAAUACAAUUUUACCAAUCUGCAUCUGAUUCAAUAUAUAGAUUGGAUUAUGAUUUUCUAAUCCAAUCCGAUCUCAUUAGAAGUAUAAAUCCAAUCCGAUCCAAUUAAAAUUGAAUUAGACUGGAUUGAAUGAUCAAUUUUUAUAAUGAAAAAUAGUAAUAACAAAAUAUAAAACAUUUAUCUUCAAGUUGAAUAUAAUCAAACAUUUCAGAACUUGGAGAGCACGAUGCCAUGCAGAUACCAACAGCAAAGACAGGUCCAUCCUCAACGUCAACGACCUUGUCAAAUAUGCCCUAAAACGUGGCUAUAAACUCUGAUUAACUCAGAAGCAGAUGAGGGGUUUUAGUCAACUAAUUAAUAUAAUAUAUAUGUGUAUAUGUGUGUAUGUAUGAGAGUUUUUAAUUACUUAUCUGCGAGUUCCAGCCAUAUAUACAUAUAUGUGUGUAUGCUAGAGAAGGAAGGAGGUGAGCUUUUGUUUCCCCCUCUUUGGCAAGGUUUGAUGAAUCAGAAUUAUGAUUUAUGUGGAAACUUUUGUAUUUCGCAAUGUGAUUUAAUAAUCAAAAAAAUUUAUAUUUAGAUAUCCUUUAUUAAGUAUCACCAAUUUAAUAUAAUUUUAUAAUUCACACCAACUAGCUUUUAAUAUAAUGAUAAUUGUCUCCACUUAAUUGAAUAAAGUUGCUACUCCGCUCCCUUCGCGGCCUCGGCAUCCCUGACAGCUUGGAUAGCAGCACCACCAAAUCUUGAUUUGAUUCAUAUGAAUACAACAUAACCUGCUUUGUAAACCUCGUAUGUAUAGUUUGAAGAGGAAAAGAAUUAUCAUCCAUACCAAAUCCAGAAAAACCAAAUUAUGUAUAUUAAAUGAGUUAGUAGUUACAAGGUCAAUAAUUUAUGGAGUAUAGGUGAUUGACCCCAACCUUUUUGGAUGUUGGGCAUAUAUAGCUAGCUGUCGCGUUGAAGUAGUUUUGGUUUCAGAGCGACACUCUUAUCCAUACAAUAUGUCGGUGUGCCGAUGAAAGAAUCUAUUGAUUUGUCCUCGCAAUGCAAGUGAAGGAUAAACGGCAAACUGUGUGAAUGUUUUUACUGUGAUCAGUAUGGUUGUAGAAACCAAAGCGAAGGCCUAGCUAGUUGACCCAAGUCAAGCAAAAGAAUCUAUUAGAAUUCUUCAUGUAGGACGUACGCAGGCUUAGUUUUUGUGCUUGCUGCUGAUUAGUCUGUGAUCAUGUAAUAUAAUGUCUCUGUGUAUGUACAUAUAUGCGUAUGUUAAUGAAUUAAUGACCAGUGAGCAGCCAUAGCUCUGUUUCAUAAAAUGGAUAAGCACAAAAUUUAGAAAAUAUGUGAAGGGCAUUAGUUAAUGGUUAUGUUGUUUUAUUGUUAAUGUCUAAUCUAUAUUUCAGUAAUACCAUGUGACACCAAAUGAGUUCUGUUACAAUCACCUUUUUCAUUUUCUUUUAUGAAAAAAAAGAAAAAGAAAAAAAAAACUUGAAACCAAAUGAGUUUGAUUCACAUGAAUUGCAUAAUGGGUAUAAGAUUGUCGCAAGUAAUUUGUUGAAGUGUUUCUCAUACAAUGACUCCAAAAUCAGAAGCCAAAAAGGGGAAGAAAAAUUAUGAAGCCAGAACCUGGCUUACCUGACGAAUCAGCAUCCAACGAGAGAAAAGUUGAAGCCGAUCGAGUUUAUGAUUUUCUUGGAGGACUUGAUUCACCGUAUGAUGGUGUCUAUAGCCGUAUUCUUACUCUUAGUCCUAUCCCGCCCCCUCUCGAAGCCUAUACCAUGGUCAUGGAGGAAGACACUCGUUAGUCUGCUAUGCUUAGAGGAGGUUCGAUGGCCCUCAAAGUCGACCCAGCCCGUCAAUGACCGGUCACUACCCAUCCAGAAAAUUUUCUUCUUCUGCUAGGCCUCGUUCUUCUGGAUCUAUCCCUAGCUCUCUUGAAGGUCCUCCUAAGUGUCGUCAUUGUAAUGGGAAUCACUAUUCUGAGAAGUGUUUUAAGGAGCAUGGUUAUCUUGAUUGGUUUGCUAACUACACGGCUCGUAUGUAUGGUCCUAAAGCCGCCUAUACUAUGACUCAAGAUGAGGCUCGUCCUCUGGCCCUUUCUACAAAUCUGUGUGCUUCUGAUACCAUGCCAUGUAUGGGUUCUAAUACUUGGAUAAUUGACACUGAUGCUUCUGAUCAUAUGACUUUUGAUAAUAAUAUGUUUGAUGAGUUGUCCCAUAACCCUCGUGACCCUUAUAUUACUAGUGCUAAUGGUUUACCUUCCCCAGUUAUUGGUGAAGGUACCAUCCAACUCGCUCAUUCUUUACCUCUAUCCCAUGCACUCUUGGUUCCAAAUAUUCGUUGCAAUUUGUUAUCUGUUGGGCGUUUACUUGAUACACUUAACGCGUCUGCUACUUUCUAUUCUACCUAUUGUUUUUCCAAGAUCUCAAAACUCACGAGAAGAUUAGGCAUAGUAAAUAGAUGGGGGGUUGUAUUACUUAUAGUUAUCAGUUGCAGCAGUUCGUGGUUGUGUCGCUAAUAAAGUUUAGAAUGGCAGUGUCAAAGACAAGCAACAACUUUGGUUGUGGCAUCGUCAUUUAGGACAUCCGUCCUUUGUUUAUCUUAAACAUUUGUUUUCUUCAUUAUUUAGUUUGUGUGAUGAGUCUAGCUUCAAAUAUGAAACUUGUGUAAUGGCCAAGAGCUACCGUAUUGUUUUUCCCUUGAGUAAUAAUAAAGCUGCAUUGCCUUUUGAGUUAGUACAUUCGGAUGUAUGGGGUCCUUCCCGUGUGACUUCUAAUGGUUUCCGUUGGUUUGUCACGUUUAUUGAUGACUGCACUCGCUUAACAUGGGUAUAUUUGAUGAAGCAUAAACAUGAUGUUGCCUCUAUUCUUCCUAUUUUUUGUGCUAUGGUGUCUACUCAGUUUCAUGCCAGUAUUAAAGUAUUUCGGACUGAUAAUGGAGGUGAAUAUGUGAAUCAUACCUUGACCCAUUUCGUCCGUGAUCAAGGUAUCAUCCACCAAACUACCACUCUAUUCACUCCUCAACAGAAUGGUAUGUCUGAACGUAAGAAUCGUCAGUUACUUGAAGUUGCUCGCUCCCUUAUGUUGGAUAUGUCUUUUCCCCAUCAUCUUUGUGGACACGGUGUCUUGGCCACUGCUCAUUUGAUUAACCGUACUCCUAGUCGGGUUCUUGAUUUCAAGACUCUGCUUGAUGUGUUAUGUACCCAUACUUCUCCAGUCUCGGUCUCUAAGUUACCUCCAAAGGUGUUGGGUGUGUUGCUUUUGUUCAUGUCUACUCUCAUUAACGGAGUAAACUGGACCUGUGUGCGCUUCGCUGUGUCUUCAUUGGCUAUUCUACCACUCAAAAGGGUUACAAGUGCUAUCACCCUCAUUCACAGAAAGUACAUGUUACUUUGGAUGUCAUCUUUCACGAAAAAGUAUCGUAUUAUGUCUCUUCCUCCUCUCUAAUUCAGGGGGAGAAGGGGAGUGAAUUGAAGAGUUUCGGAAUGGAAAAUCAUGGACGUAAAGAGGCAUGUGAAGGAAUUUCUGACCAAGUGCCAACGACCGGUCGUGUAAAGGAAGCAACCGGUCACCAAGUAAUCUGCCUGGAAUCGACCGGUCGAGCAGACGAUGACGACUAGUCGCAUGCCUAGAUGACUGAUGACUGCCAGGAAACGACGAUCGAUCGCUCAAAAGAUGACGAUCGGUCGCCUAUUGAAUUCUUUGAUGAAAUUUGCUCUUCGCCAAAAGAACGUGACAGUGAUACUGGUGACUCUUGUGAAGAUAAGAUCGAUAUAAGACCCCCAUCUGCUCUGCCACUGCCCCAAUCAACUCUUGAUAAUGAUGAAGUACUUUCUAAUGAUGUGUCUACUUAUUCAUUACCCCCACCCACUACUCGUGGUAAACCUAAAGUACAAUAUUCUAUUGAUAUACAUUCCAAAUCUAAAUAUCUCAUUAACCAUUAUGUGCCAACUCAUCGUCUAUCUAAGUCAUAUGCAUCAUAUUUGUGUCAAUUAUCUAGUGUUUGUAUGUCAACUAAGUUGCAUGAUGCUUUAUCUAAUCUAAAAUGGGUAGAUGCAAUGCAUGUUGAGAUGGAAGCCUUGAACAAGAAUGCCACUUGGGAGCUAGUUCCUUUACCAAAAGGAAAAAAGGCAGUUGGGUGCAGAUGAGUGUUUACUUUGAAGACAAUGCUGAUGGUUCCAUUGACCGUUACAAGGCAAGGUUGGUAGCAAAAAGUUAUACUCAGACUUAUGGAGUGGAUUACACAGCGACCUUUGCUCCAGUAGCAAAGCUCAAUACUGUGCGCGUACUCUUGACCUUGGUUGCUAAUCAUGAUUGGCCUAUGUUACAAUUCGAUGUCAAAAAUGCAUUCCUCCAUGGUGACCUCAAGAAAGAAAUAUACAUGGAUCCUCCGCCGAGUAUUCCUGUGACCUCUAAGGAGGGUAUGGUGUGCAAACUAUGGAAAUCCUUAUAUGGAUUAAAGCAGUCUCCAAGAGCUUGGUUUAGGAAGUUUGCUGCAUCUAUUAGGAAGUUUGGGUAUGUAUAAAGUAAUUCGAAUCAUACGUUGUUUCUGAAGGGUCGCAAAGGUAAAUUGACAGCUUUAAUAAUUUAUGUUGAUAAUAUAAUUGUAACUGGAGAUGAUCAUGCAGAAAUACACAGUCUCCAGAAAUAUCUGGCGUCUGAGUUUGAGAUGAAAUCAUUAGGUGACUUGAAGUAAUUUCUCGGGAUUGAAGUUGCUAAAUCUAAGCGUGGUAUUUUCCUGUUUCAAAGGAAGUAUAUUUUGGAUUUGCUUGCAGAAACUGGAAUGAUGGAUUGUAAACCAAUUGAUAAUCCUAGUGAACAAAAUCACAAGUUGGGGUUCUAUCCUGAUCAAGUUCCUACUGAUAAGGAGUGCUAUCAACAGCUCGUGGGGAAAUUAAUUUAUUUAGCUCAUACAUGUCCUGACAUUGCGUAUGCAGUGAGUGUAGUGAGUCAGUUUAUGCACUUGCCUAGUGAAGACCAUAUGGGAGCUGUGACGCGUAUUUUGAGAUAUCUCAAAGUAACUCCUGGCAAUGGGUUAAUGUUUUCAAAGUAUGGUCAUAUAGAUGUGGAAGGAUACACAGAUGCUAAUUAGGCAAGUUUAGCUAUUGAUAGGCGUUCUACGUCUGGGUAUUUUACGUUUGUUGGUGGUAAUCUUGUUACUUGGAGAAGCAAGAAACAAAAUGUGGUGUCUUGUUCUAGUGAUGAGGCUGAGUAUCGUUGGAUGGCCCAUGACGUAUGUGAGUUACUGUGGUUGAGGAGAUUAUUGAGAGAUCUUGGCUUUGGACCUAAGAAACCUAUGGAUUUAUAUUGUAACAAUAAGGCUGCGAUUGCAAUUGCUCAUAAUCAUGUACAACAUGAUCGUACAAAGCAUGUGGAGGUUGAUCGAAAUUUCAUUAAAGAGAAGUUCGAUGCGGAGAUUGUUUCCUUCCCAUUCAUCAGUUCUGAGUAUCAGUUAGCUGAUGUCCUUACGAAAGCUGUUUCUACAAGUAUCUUCCUCAACUCGCUUGACAAGUUAGGCAUGUGUGACGUCUUUGCUCCAACUUGAGAGGGAGUGUUGGCGAGAUAUCCUAACCCUAUUAGGAUAUUUCCUUCUUAUUCUAAUAGGAUUUUAUUUAUUUCUUUUUGUAUAGAUAUUACGUAAUUAGGACUUUUCUUAUUUCCUAGUAUAACCCUAUUAGAGUUUGUAACCUUGUAUUAUAAAUACCUCCUUUCGAAAAAUGAAAUACAUAUAAAAAAUAUUAUACCUAUAUUGUUUGACUAAGAUGAUGCAAGGGUUGAGUCUGAUAAUACGCAGGGUAGAAGAUGAAGAGGCGAGAGAACAUGUUUGUGUCAAACAUGUAUUUUAAUAAUUUUUUUUAAUAAAAAAAAAUGAAUUGAAGAGUUAACAGAGUUAAAAUGUUGUUAAAUAGUGUGCCACAUGUUACAAAAUCAAGGAGGAAAUGGGGACACAGAGAAUUUGGUAACAGAAAAAUUCAACUUGUAAGAGUAGCACUAGUUUAUAGUCCAUAGGUGAUUGACCCCAACCUUUUUGGAUGUUAGGCAUAUAUAGAUAGCUAUCGCGUUUAAGUACUAUUGGUUUCAGAGCGACACCCUUAUCCAUAUGGCAUCUACAACACAACAUAAAACAUAUGUUCUUUUCUUUUCAUAUCGGAUAUGGCUUUCGAGUUUCAUAUCCACCACGCUGUGUGUUAUCCAUAUGGCAUCUACAAUUGGGAUGCUUGUCCCAACAGUCAUACGCCAAAUCUCACAUAAUGAAUCUCGAUCCAACUUAAAGAGUAUAAGAUGGAGAUCUCAAGUACUCUUGAGUCUGAUAAUUAUAUUUCCAACGUUAAUUUAGGGGUUUUAGUACUUAUGAUUAAUAAUUUAUAGUUAAAAUGUUUUUAUAUGUUAUAUUAAAAUACUAUGUGCAAAGGAUUCACUAGUGUAGUGGUUUAAAGCAAUUUCUCUUUCAGACAACGUUAUAGGUUCGAAUUCUAAUAUCUGCUAGAAAGAAAGAAAGAAAAAGGUUUCACUCACAAACCGAAAAGUUGAAUUAUUCCUUUCAACAAUUGGCAGAUGAAGCAUUUUACUGUUAUCAACUUUACUACCAAAGAAAAGCUCACAAACCGCUUUUGACCAAACAAUUAAGCAUCUAUUAUCACUACUUGCAAAGUUCCAUGCUUUAUGUGCACGCAAAAUCUAGUCCAUAUAUAUGACUCGAUUUUUUUUAAAUAAUCAACUGUAGUUUACCAAUUUCAUCUGCGGAAAUUACAAGAGGCAACACUUAGAACAAGAGAAACCUAACUCAAAAACAAGAAGAACAAGAAUUUGUUUGAUAUUUCAUCCAUUGGAAUCAAGUAUUAUUUUUAAGGAGAGUGAUCGGAUCGAUGCCAAACUAUAGUAAGUAUAUAUCAACAAAAUACCAAACUGGAGUAUCAAGAAAAUAUUGAAUAAAAUAUCAAUAAUGUAUCAUAUACUGUAAAUAAAUUGGUACCCGAUACCAACAAAUUCUUUCCCAAAAUAGAGACCCUUGAGGCAUGUGACUUGAAGAAUAUUAGAAUACUUUUGGAGGUCCAACAUGUGCGCAGGGGAUCAGGCAGAGCCCUAUAUAAAUGGGCUCCCUCAUAGUGUACAAGUCACCCAAUUCAAGCCUUUGUUAAUUCCUUGGUAGUUUUUGCAGUUAAUAAAUUAGUAGAAGAUGGGUUAUCACAAUAAUCUUGAUAAGGUCCGUAAUAAGAGGGCCAAGUUUCCCUACACAAAGGAGCAGAUAAGGAACGUCUUCAAACGUCAUGACAAGAAUGGAGAUGGUCAACUUUCCAAAGAUGAGCUGGACGCAGCCUUCAAAGAACUUGGCUCGAUAUGGCCUCCUGGUAGAGCUUGGUUUGCUCAAAGGUAUGCAGAUGACGACGGCGAUGGCUUCAUUUCUAUAGACAAGGAGCUCAGCAAGCUCGUCCAGUAUGCCCUAGAAUUGAAGUAUACACUUAAGUAAUUAUAGUAUUAGUGGGUAACUAGUUCUUGUAUGUGCUUGCUAUAGAUAUAUUCUCAGCAAGCUCGUUGACUAUGCCCUCAAUUGAAGUUCUCUAUAUAAGUAAUCGUAGUGGUGGAGCUAAACUUGGUGUCUUAGUGACCACAACCACUUCAAGUCUAUAUGUAACUCCGUCUGUGUGUAAGCGUCUUUAAUUACUUGUAAGCAGCCGUAGUACCUAUAUAUGUGUGCAAGGUUGAAGGAACGAAAGAGGUGACCUUUUGUUUCCCUUCGUUACCAGGGAAGAUGAAUUUGAACCCUGAUUAUGUAUAAUAUAUAGUGAUUAACAAGAAUAAAGUAACAAACUUUGUGUAUUGGUAUCUAUUACGUAUAUAUGUGUACGUAGUUGUGAACUUGUGUCUAUAUAUUUAUGUAUGUACAUAUAUAUUGUAUUACAUACGUACACAUGCACAACUUACACUAAUAAAAGCGCCAUGUUAUAGAGAUUACUACAAUCCACUUAACACCACAUGUGGAAACAUGGACAUGACCAGAGCAACUUAAUAUGAUUCCAUAUCAAUAUCUUGCCUUUUGUUUUGGUACAUUCUGAUGUUUGGGGCCUACUCCAAUUACUAGUACUUCUGGCUUCCGUUGAUUUGUUAUUUUGUGGAUGAUUGCACUCGCAUAUCAUGGUUGUACCUGAUGCAAAAUAAGAGUGAUGUUUUUGCUUGCUUUCGAACUUUUCACCAGAUGAUUAAAAAUCAAUUUUCUGCUACUUUAAAGGUGCUUCUUUCAGAUAAUGGUGGUGAACAAUUUUGAUGAUUCUUCCCUUCAUCCACACCAUUCUUACACAGUUAUUUUCAGAAACAUGGAAUUCUACAUGAGACUACUUGUCCUUACACACCUCAGCAGAAUGGUGUGGAUGAAGGGAAGAAUCAUCAAAAUUGUGAAAUUACUCAUGCUAGUCUUAUAGGUGCCCAUAUGACCCCAUAAUUCUAGGAGGAGGUGAUCACCUAUACAGUCUAUCUUCUUAAUAUUGUGUUCCUGCUAGUGUCCUGUAGUUUAAGACACCAUUGGACAAAUUUGAGGCUUAUGUUUCCUUCCUAUCUCAUAUCACUCUUCUGUCACAUCUCGGGAUCGGCUCCGUCAUAGCACGAUAUUGUCCGCUUUGGGCCCCCUUUCUGCCCUCACAGUUUUGUUUCUAUGAAUCACGAGCAACUUCCCAGUGAGUCACCCAUCCUGGGAUUGAUUUAGCCCCAACUCGCUUAACUUCAGAGUUCCCAUGACUCUGAAGCCAGUGAGCUCUCAAAAGGCCUCGUGCUAGAUGGAGGAGGGCAUGUACAUAUAAGGCACAUCACCCCCUCUCCGUUGGUCGAUGUGGGAUGUUACACUUCUACCUUGUGUUUUUAGAUGCGUUGCUUUUGUGCACUUGCACAAACAUCAACAUACGAAAUUCGAUCAGUGUGCUGUGAAGUGUGUGUUUAUUGGUUAUCACCCCCAUCAGAAGGGUUAUCGGUACUUUCAUCUACCGAGUCAACAUUUUUAUGUUACUAUGAAUGUUACGCUUUCCAAGCAUGAGAUGUAUUUUGCUAAACCAGUAUCUCAUUCUCCUCUUAUGGGGGAGAGUAGCGUUGAAGAGUCAAAAUGGAUGAGUUAUUUCAGGAUAAUAAUGAGGUUAAUUGGUAGCCAUGCGUGACUUGACAGCUAGUAACGAACCAACCUGCACAGUACCAACCAGUACCGCACCUGCGACUGAACCUACCUGCACAUUCGCACCCACAGCCGAUAACGUCUGUGCUGCCCCUCUCUCUACUACUUUUCCAGUACCGGCCCUAAGUCUCCUCAUGCUGACAUUCUUGAGGUAAGAAUAGAAUCUUUAAUUAACACUAACAAGGAUUGUGAAAUUAUUGAGCGUAGUGAGUAUCAGUUACCAACAAUGAGUAAUUGUGGGAAGCCACCAUAUGGAUAUUCACCAGAGCCUGCGACAAAGGUAAAGUAUUUUAUUUCUCAUUAUAUGUCUACUCACAGAUUAUCUGAAGCUUGUCAGGCAUUUGUAAAUCAAAUGUCUACUGUGGCUAUUUAUAGUAAAGUACAAGAUGCAUUGUCUGAUUCAAAAUGGGCUAUUGCUAUGAUUGAAGAGAUCCAAACUCUUGAGAAAAAUCAAACCUAGGAAUUGGUGCAACAGCCAUAAGGGAAGAAACCAGUUGGUUGCAGAUGUAUUAUACCAUAAAACACAAACCGGAUGGUUCUAUUGACAAGUAUAAAGCCAGACUUGUUGCCCAGAGUUUUACCCAAACUUAUGGUAUUGAUUAUCAAGAGACAUUUGCACAUGUGGCUAAGAUCAAUACCAUUCGAGUUCUACUAUCUUUAGCUACAAACUUUAACUGACCAUUGCAGCAAUAUGAUGUAAAAAAUGUCUUUUUACAUGGAGACUUACAGGAGGAAGUCUACAUGUCAUUGUCACCAGGUUAUAAUGCUCCUACUGAUGCCAGUGUUCUGUGUAAAUUAAAGAAUGCACUGUAUGGAUUGAAGCAGUCUUUGCAAGCUUGGUUUAGGAGAUUGCGCCGUGCCAUGAAAAAUAUGGUCAUGAGCAGAGCAAUGCUCGUCAUACUUUAUUUCUUAAAAGGAAGAAUGGUAAGUUAACAGCUCUUAUUAUUUAUGCGGAUGAUAUGAUCGUGACUGGUGAUGAUCUUGAUGAAAUUGGCAAAUUAAAAGGCUAUUUCGCUUCUGAAUUUGAUAUGAAGGAUCUCGGUGGAUUAAAAUAUUUUCUGGAUAUUGAGGUAACUCAUUCUGAAUAUGGAAUUUUCUUGUCACAAAGAAAAUAUGUUCUUGAUUUGCUAAAGGAAACAGGUAUGCUUGGGUGUGAACCGAUUGGUACUCCUAUAGAACAAAAUCAUGGUUUGGAAGAAUAUCCAAAUCAAGUUCCAACUGAUAAAGGACGAUAUCAAAGGUUGGUUGGUCGGUUGAUUUAUUUGUCUCACACUUGACCUAAUAUUGCAUAUGCAGUAAGUGUUGUAAGUAGGUUCAUGCAUAAUCCAAGUUUACGAUAUAUGGAUGCAGUAGUCCAAAUUUUGAGGUAUUUGAAGUCUGCACUAGGAAAAGGUCUGAUGUUCUUAAAGCAUGGCAUGUAAAGGUUGUGGGGUAUACGGACUUAGACUCGGCAGGGAAUGGGGAUAAGAGGAGAUAGACAUUUGGUUAUUUCACGUUUGUUUAGGCGGUCACUUGGUUACUUGGAAGAGUAAAAAGCUGAAGGUUGUCUAUUUGUUGAGUCCAGAUGUCGAGUAUCGGGCUAUGGUGAAAGGUGUUUGUGAAGUGCUAUGGUUAAAAAGGCUUAUGGGGGAGCUAGGUUUUCCUACUGAGAAUACUAUGAAGUUGUAUUGUGAUAAUCAGUCAGCAAUUAAGAUUGCUGAAAAUCCAGUUCAACAUGAUAGAAUGAAACAUGUAGAGAUUGAUCGAAACUUUAUUUAUGAGGAAUUGGAAGAGAAGAUUAUUGAAGUUCCAUAUGUUAAGACUACUGAACAAUUGGCAAAUAUGUUGACCAAGGUUGUAUCAAAUCAAGCCUUUACAGAUUCACUUACCAAGCUAGGUAUCUGCGACAUCUAUGCACCAUCUUGGGGGGAGUGUUGGCUUGAAUCACAAUAGGAAUUAUAGACAAUUACCUUUAUUAUAUUGAUUUGUAAUUAUAGGAAUACCGGUUUGACCUGGAUUGUAUUUAUUCCUUUUUCCUUAUUGUAAUUAGUUACUAGAUAGACUUGUAUUUGUAUCACUAUAAAUACCUCAUUGUGAGAAGAAUAGAAACAUACUGAAUCAUUCGUAACCCUAAAUUCUAUUUGAAUGGUGUUAGCAGCAGCCAAAAAGGGGAAAAAUUUAUGAAGCGAUUUUCCUUCCAAUGGUGAUUGUGAAUUGAGUCGAGUGAGAGAGAAAGACUUAAGAGGCUGAAAGAAUUGACAAAAGCUCGUGAAUCAUCUGCUCGGCAUUGGCACUGGCUGGUUUUCAUGUAAAUUUGCAGUAUGCAAGUUCUGUUCAAAUCACAUUUUUCAUUGUCUUUUAUGGAAAAAAAAACUGAAACCAAAUGAGUUUGAUUCACAUGAAUUGCAUAAUCGGUAUAUGAUUGUCGCAAGUUAUUUGUUGAAGUGUUUCUCAUACGAUGGCUCCAAAAAAGUGGAGAAAAAUUAUGAAGCAAAACCUAGCUUACCCAACGAACCAGCUUCGAAUGAGCGAAAAAAUUUAUCGAACCAGAUACAGGGGCUAAGUUUUGCAUGGCAGAGAUGAUGCAAGGGUUGAGUCUGAUGAUACGUAGGGUAGAAGAUGAGGAGACGAGAGAACAUGUUUGUGUCAAACGCGUAUUUUAAUAAUUUUUUUUAAAAUAAAAAGAAAUGGGUUGAAGAGUUAAUAGAAUUAAAAUGUUGUUAAAUGGUGUGCCGUGUGUCACAAAACCAAUGAAGAAAUAAAGAGGCACAAGAGAUUUGGUAAGAGGAAAAUUGGACUCGUAAGAGUAACACUAAUUUAUAGAGUGGGUGAUUGACCCCAAGCUUUUUGGAUGUCAGGCAUAUAUAGCUAGCUAUCGCGAAGUACUUUUGGUUUCAGAGCUACCGUCUUAUCCAUAUGGCAUCUACAAACAUACAGCAUAUGUCGGUGUGCCGAUCAAAGAAUAUAUAAAGCAUUUUACUGUGAUCCAUUAUACGCUUUCGUCACGUGUAGUGAUCCAUUAUAUUGUUGGAUAUUGCUAUUGGUUUCGGUUUUUUGAAUGAACCAUAAUCUUAAUCUUACACUGCAAGUCCAAACCUUAUCUCUUGUAGUGUUUCAGGCACCCCUUUCUUGUAGUGUUCUUGUGGUGGUUCUGUUCAAAAUGUUGUCCACCCAAAACCUUUGCAUACUUUACAGAAAAAUUACCCCACAUAUCGGAUAUUGCUUUCCAGUUUCAAAUCCACCACGCUGUGUGUUAUUCAUAGGGCAUCUACAAUGGGGUAUGCUUGUCCCAAUAGUCAUAAGCCAAAUCUCACAUAAUGAAUCUCGAUCCAACUUAAAGAGUAUAAGAUGGAGAUCUCAAGUACUCUGAGUCUAAGAAUUAUAUUUCCAACAUGAAUUUAGGGGUUUUAAUACUUAUGAUUAUUUUAUAGUUAAAAUGAUUUUAUAUGUUAUAUUAAAACACUACGUGCAAAGGAUCCACUAAUGUAGUGGUUUAGAGCAAUUGUUCUCUCAGACAACGUCAUGAGUUCGAGUCCUAGCAUCUGUGUAGUUGAAUUAUCCCUUACAAACCGAAAAGUUGGGCACCUUUCAGAAAGAAAGAAGAAAAAAAGGUUUCACAAACCGAAAAGCUGAAUUAUUCCUUUCAACAAUUGGCAGAUGAAGCAUUUUACUGUUAUCAACUUUACUACCAAAGAAAAGCUCACAAACCGUUUUAGACCAAACAAUUAAGCAUCUAUUAUCACUACUUGCAAAGUUCCAUGCUUUAUGUGCACGCAAAAUCUAGUCCAUAUAUGCUACUCGAUUUUUUUUAAUAAUCAACUGUAGUUUACCAAGAAUUUGUUUGAUAUUUCAUCCAUUGGAAUCAAGUAUUAUUUUUUAGGAGAGUGAUCCGCUCGUUGCCAAAGUAUAUAUCAACAAAAUAUUAGGUAAAAUAUUGACAAUGUACCAUAUACUGUAGAUAUGUUAGUACUCGAUACCAACAAAUUCUUUUCCAGAAUAAAGACCCAUGAGGCAUGUGACUUGAAGAAUAUUAGAAUACUUUUUUAAGGUCCAACAUGCGCGCAGGGAACCAGGCAGAGCCCUAUAUAAAUGGGAUUGAAUUCAUAGUGCAAGUCAUUCAAGCCCUGGUUAAUUCCUUAUCCUUGGUAGUUUUGCAGUUAAUAAAUUAGAAGAAGAUGGUUUGGGAAACAAAUAGGUAUAAGGCCCCGAGCAAGGUUCCCUACGCAAAGGAGCAGAUAAGGGACGUCUUCAAACGUCAUGACAAGAAUGGAGAUGGUCAACUUUCCAAAGAAGAGCUGGACGCAGCCUUUGACGAACUUGGCGCGAAAUGGCCUCCUUUUAGAGCUUGGUUUGCUCGACAGUAUGCAGAUGACAACGGCGAUGGCUUCAUUUCUAUAGACAAGGAGCUCAGCAAGCUCGUCCAGUAUGCCCUAGAAUUGAAGUAUAUACUUCAUUAAUUAUAGUAUUAAUUAGUGGGUAACUAGUUCUUGUAUGUACUUGCUAUAGAUAUAUUCUCAGCAAGCUCAUUGACUAUACCCUCAAUUAAAGCUCUCUCUAUAUAUGUAAUCGUAGUGAUGGAGCUAGACUUGGUAUCUUAGUGGCCACAACCACUUCAAGUUUGUAUGUAACUCCGUCCGUGUGUAAGCGUCUUUAAUUACUUGUAAGCAGCCGUAGUACCUAUAUAUGUGUGCAAGGUUGAAGGAACGAAAGAGGUGACCUUUUUUUUCCCUUCGUUACCAGGGAAGAUGAAGAACCCUGAUUAUGUAUAAUAUAUAGUGAUUAACAAGAAUAAAGUAACAAACUUUGUGUAUUGAUAUCUAUUACAUAUAUAUGUGUAUGUAGGUGUGUCUAUAUAUUUAUAUAUGUACACAUAUAUUGUAUUACAUACGUAUACAUACACAACUUACACUGAUAAAAGCUCCAUGUUAUAGAGAUUACUACAAUAUUCCACUCAACACCACAUUUGGAAGCGUGGACAUGAGCAGAGCAACUUAAUAUGAUUCCAUAUCAAUAUCUUGUUCAAGUGGCAUGCAGAUUUAAAUUUAAAAUCUUCAUAUAAGUAUAUCAAAAAAGAAAAAGAAAAAAAGAAAGAACUUUCACCCAACUUUUCAUUGUUACACUCUUUUCUAUAUAAUUAUUUUCUAGGAGUGUACAUCGGUUCGAAACUAAUACAAUUGUAUAAAUCCGCAUUCGAUCUAAUAUAGAUUGGAUUAUAAUUUUCUAAUCCAAUCCGAUCACAUUAGAGAGAUAUAAAUCCAAUCCGAUUUGAUCCAAUUUAUAUUGGAUUAGACUAGAUUGGAUGAUCGGUUUUCAUAAUGGAAAAAGAUAAUAACGAAAUAUGAAACAUUUAUCUUCAAGUUUAAUAUAAUAAAACACUUUAAUAGAAUGUAAAUUUAAAAUAUCAAUGAAAUGCUAGAGAAAAUUAUUCUGAUUUUAUAAUAUAUCAAACAUAACUUCAUCAAAUUACUUAAAAUAUUUAUAACUUUCUAAAUGAAAAUUGCCUAAUAAGCAAAAUGAGGAAAUCCGUCAUCUGAUCUGAUCAUAUGUUGGUGUUGGAAAUUAGGAAUCCAAUCCACUCCGCCAAAUCAUUGAAACAUAUUAAAGUUGAAUUGGAUUGGUCGGUUUAGGGGAAUUAAAUUGGAUCUUGCACACCCCUACUGUUUCCUUUGGUGAGCAUUUACAUUAUACGUCACAAUCUCUUAAAACAUAGCACAACAAAAUGAAUAUAAUGUUUUCAAUAAAACAACGAAAUAUUCGUGAGGAUAAUCAAAUGGUCAAAUGAUUUCAAAUUUGUUGAUUUUCUUAAAUGGAGAUUGAAAAAUUAGACAGUUCAUAUCCUUAAACCACAUGUGGAAGUGCCCAAAAAAGUAAUUAUUUCAUGCAUAUUAUCUACAAAGAGUUCAAUUUGUAAAUAAAUUUUAAUUUUUUUUAUACAAGCGAUGUCUAAAUUAUUCUAAAUUAAUUAAAUUUAUGAGAAGGGAGGUUCGAACUUAGGUGCAAGGAGGCGCGCUCACUUUACUGACCAAUUUGCAUAAUCCACAUCUACAAAUCAUUCUUAUUAAUAAAUUAAAGAAUUAUGAUAUAUGUACACACAUAUAUACACGUUGCUUAACCAAUAAAUGAAAUGGAUGAAAAAUGUUACUCCUUUUUUUCUUUAAUGAAGAAAAAUGUUACAAUUUAUAAAUGGAUAAAGUCACACACACCAAAUACCAAGUCACAUAAGUUAGGGGCAAAAAGGCAGACAUUUCAACUGGCAUGGAGGUCCCGAUGUUACACUUAUGUUUAUUUAUUAAUAUUAUACUCUAGACUCAUAAAAUAUAUAUAUAUAUAUAUGUGACAGAAAUGAUGUUCUAAAUUACUCCAGCUACAGAUAGGCAGGUUGGAAUUCGAGUUCAAAUUAAAGUUUCUCCACCCAUAUUAAUAGCAUAUCAAGACAUUGUACACCCAAAACCUUUUCAUAAUUUACAAGAAAAUCACACCCCUCCCCCAAUCUAUUUGGAUAUGAAGGCUAUCGCUGUCGAGUUUGAUAUCCAUGCUGUGUUAUCCAUAUGACAUCUAUCUACAAUGGGGGUCACUGUGAAAAAAAUAGCAACAGUCACUAUUAUUUGGUGAUUAAAAUUUAGUCACCCCUAAUUAGUCACUAAAUAUCACCUGGUAAUUGUUACUCUUUUUUUUUUUCUUUUUGUAGCGGGUGAUUGUCCAAUAGUCAUAGGCCAAAUCUCACAUAUAAUUGUUCCCAAUAGUCUUCGGUUUGAUUCUUAUAAGGACAAACCAUGUGGCCUUCGUGUUUGUAUAUAUGCCUUUGGUCUGAGGAUUCUAUUUCCAACAUGAAUUUAGGGAUUUUAAUUCUUAUUGUUAAAAAAUGCUUCACCACGUUGGCCGGCGGAAAAGUUGAAUUAUAGAAAGAAUAAAAACACAAACGGAAAAGUUGAAUUAUUCCUUUCGAUCACUGUCCAUAACAACACUGGCAGAUGAAGUAUUUUUACUAUUAUCGCUUGCAAAAUUCCAUGCUUUAUUUGCACGCACAAAUCUGGUCCAUAUACAAACUAGAAAAUGAUCAAGUACAACAUGCAACACUUAGAACAAGAGAACAUAACUCAAAAACAAGAAGAACAAGAAUUUGUUAGAUAUUCAUCCAUGGAAAUCAAGUAUUAUUUUUAAGGAGAGUGAUCGGCUCAAUUCCAAACUAUAUAUCAACAAAUUAUUAGCUAAAAUAUCGACAAUGUACCAUAUACUAGUAUUGCAUACAUGUUAGUACUCGAUACCAACAAAUUAUUUUCCAAAAUUAAGACCCCUGAGGUAUGUGACUUGAAGAAUAUUAGUUAGAAUACUUUUUUAUGGUCCAACAUAUGCCCAGGGGACCAGGCAGAGUCCUAUAUAAAUGGGAUUGAAUUCAUAGUGCAAGUCAUUCAAGCCCUAGUUAAUUCCUUAUCCUUGUUAGUUUUGCAGUUAAUAAAUUAGAAGAAGAUGGUUUUCGAUACAAAUUAUAAGGUCCCGAACAACGUUCCCUACACCGAGCAGCAGAUAAUGAAUGUCUUCAAAAGUCAUGACAAGAAUGGAGAUGCUCAACUUUCCAAAGAGGAGCUGAAAGAAGCCUUCAAAGAACUUGGCUCGAAAUGUCCUCCUUUAAGAGCUUGGUUUGCUAAAAAUUAUGCAGAUGACAACCGCGAUGGCUUCAUUUCUAUAGACAAGGAGCUCAGCAAGCUCGUCAAGUAUGUCCUAAAAUUGAACUAUACACUUCAUUAAUUAUAGUAUUAGUGGGUAACUAGUUCUCAGCAAGCUCGUUGACUAUGCUGUCAACUGAAGCUCUAUAUAUGUGUGUGGAUAUAUAAACAUAGUGGCGGAGCUAGACUUGGCAUCUUGGGGGGUUGCAAUCACUUCAAGCUUAUAUAUGACUCCGUUCGUGUGUAAGCAUAUGUAAUUACUUGUAAUUCGUAUUACCUAUGUUACUAUGUAUGUGUGCAGGGUAGAGGAAACGAAGGAGAUGACCUUUCGGUACCUCUCGUUUCCGGGAAAGAUGAAUUUGAACCCUGAUUAUGUAUAAUAUAUAGUGAUUAACAAAAAUAAAGUAACAAACUUUGUGUAGUGACAUCUAUUAGGUAUAUGUAUGUGUGUCUAAUAUAUUAUAGUACAUACGUAUAUACGUACACAACUCACACUGAUAAAGUUCCAUGUUAUGGAGAUUAUUACAAUCCACUCACCACCACAUGUGGAAAGAUUGUGAUAUGAGCAGAUCUAGAGCAAUUUCACAUGCAUCCAUAUCAAUAUCUUGCUCAAGUAGCAUAGAGAUUUAAAUUUAAAUCCUCAUAAGUAUAUCCAAAAAAAG
rnacentral:lncRNA from 1 species